GACGAACGCUGGCGGCGUGCCUAAUACAUGCAAGUCGAGCGGACUAAUGGGAGCUUGCUCCCAUUAGUUAGCGGCGGACGGGUGAGUAACACGUGGGCAACCUACCUGUAAGACUGGGAUAACUUCGGGAAACCGGAGCUAAUACCGGAUGACAUAAAGGAACUCCUGUUCCUUUAUUGAAAGAUGGCUUCGGCUAUCACUUACAGAUGGGCCCGCGGCGCAUUAGCUAGUUGGUGAGGUAACGGCUCACCAAGGCGACGAUGCGUAGCCGACCUGAGGGGGUGAUCGGCCACACUGGGACUGAGACACGGCCCAGACUCCUACGGGAGGCAGCAGUAGGGAAUCUUCCGCAAUGGACGAAAGUCUGACGGAGCAACGCCGCGUGAGCGAUGAAGGCCUUCGGGUCGUAAAGCUCUGUUGUUAAGGAAGAAUAAGUGCUAGUUGAAUAAGUUGGCACCUUGACGGUACCUAACCAGAAAGCCACGGCUAACUACGUGCCAGCAGCCGCGGUAAAAC
rnacentral:rRNA from 1 species